CCUACGGGAGGCAGCAGUAGGGAAUUUUGCGCAAUGGGCGAAAGCCUGACGCAGCAACGCCGCGUGAUUGAUUAAGCCCUUCGGGGUGUAAAGCUCUAUCAGCAGGGAAGAAACAGACGGUACCUGAGUAAGAAGCCCCGGCUAACUACGUGCCAGCAGCCGCGGUAAUACGUAGGGGGCAAGCGUUAUCCGGAUUUACUGGGUGUAAAGGGAGCGUAGACGGCGAAGAAAGUCUGAAGUGAAAGCCCGCGGCUUAACCGCGGAACUGCUUUGGAAACUUUUGUGCUGGAGUACCGGAGAGGUAAGCGGAAUUCCUAGUGUAGCGGUGAAAUGCGUAGAUAUUAGGAGGAACACCAGUGGCGAAGGCGGCUUACUGGACGGUAACUGACGUUGAGGCUCGAAAGCGUGGGGAGCAAACAGGAUUAGAUACCCCGGUAGUC
rnacentral:rRNA from 1 species